UACCAGACUCCUACGGGAGGCAGCAGUGGGGAAUAUUGGGCAAUGGGCGCAAGCCUGACCCAGCAACGCCGCGUGAAGGAAGAAGGCUUUCGGGUUGUAAACUUCUUUUCUCAGGGACGAAGAAAGUGACGGUACCUGAGGAAUAAGCCACGGCUAACUACGUGCCAGCAGCCGCUGUAAUACGUAGGUGGCAAGCGUUAUCCGGAUUUACUGGGUGUAAAGGGCGUGUAGGCGGGAAAGCAAGUCAGAUGUGAAAACCACGGGCUCAACCUGUGGCCUGCAUUUGAAACUGUACUUCUUGAGUGCUGGAGAGGCAAUCGGAAUUCCGUGGGUAGCGGUGAAAUGCGUAGAUAUAAGGAAGAACACCAGUGGCGAAGGCGGAUGACUGGACGGCAACUGACGGUGAGGCGCGAAAGCGUGGGGAGCAAACAGGAUUAGAUACCCCGGUAC
rnacentral:rRNA from 1 species